AUUGAACGCUGGCGGCAGGCUUAACACAUGCAAGUCGAGCGAGCGGCGGACGGGUUAGUAAUGUCUGGGAAACUGCCUGAUGGAGGGGGAUAACUACUGGAAACGGUAGCUCAUACCGCAUCCCAUCAGAUGUGUCCAGAUGGGAUUAGCUAGGAGGUGGGGUAAUGGCUCAUCUAGGCGACGAUCCCUAGCUGGUCUGAGAGGAUGACCAGCCACACUGGAACUGAGCCACGGUCCAGACUCCUACGGGAGGCAGCAGUGGGGAAUAUUGCAGAAUGGGCGCAAGCCGGAUGCAGCCAUGCCGCGUGUGUGAAGAAGGCCGUCGGGUUGUAAAGCACUUUCAGCGAGGAGGCGUUACUCGCAGAAGAAGCACAGGCUAACUCCGUGCCAGCAGACGCGGUAAUUC
rnacentral:rRNA from 1 species